rnacentral:lncRNA from 1 species
UUUUGAUGCUUCUCCCAUUUGUUCUUUAGAAUCCUCUGGUAAUGGUCUGGCAACAGGCUUUACCCUCUUAUCUGCCGUUUUAUAUCUCGUCUCUACUGUGACUUCUGGUGCUUGAAAAGAUUCAAGCAUGGUAUAAACCUCCCUCGAAUGAAUCUCAACAAUCUUAUCAUUAUCCCCUAACCCAAUAGAUGUAAUCAAUUCCAAUGAAUUGUCCAGUCCAUUUUCUUCAUAAACACCCAAAAUCCUCUCAUCAUCUUGCAAUGUACCUAACUUGCGUAAUUCUCCUUCAAUAUUAUAUAAUCUUUUUCUUUCUUUUCUUUUAAAAUCAUCAACUUUCUUAUACAUAAUAUUUCCAUUCUCCAAUAUACCAAUAAAACUCGCAUCAAAGGCACCUUCAUCUCGCGAGAGUACCUCCUCUUUUGUACCUCCAUAAUCUCGCUUUACAGUGGUACCUCCCCAAAAUCCUUAAAUCCUUCAACAAUCUUUCGCAAUGGUUUCUCCCUCAACCUAUCUCGAUUCCGUUCAUGGUUAGGAGGUACUGUUAGAAAUU